AUUAUUAAUAAUGCGCGAUUAUAUUAUAAGCUUGAGAUCUAUCGAGCGCACUUUGACUUUGCUCAGACUUAAGACGCUGUUAAAACGAGACAGCGCUAUAUCGCUGGUAUAAAUCUGUCUCGUUUUAACUGGAGCUUAAGUCUGAGGAAAGUCAAAGUGUGCUCAAAUA